rnacentral:misc_RNA from 1 species
UUGCUACAAUUACGGGCUAAUAAGCACAGUAUAUACUAUAACUGGAGACGAAGUAGCUAAAAUACCUGAGCUACAUGAGGCAUUUCUGCAAUAUAAAAGAAUAACUAAAGGAACUUUAUUUUAUAUAAAGUUCUACUCAGCAACAGGGGCGGCGGUUUCGGUACGUCCUCCUCCAGCUACCUGACCAAUCAUGGCACGACACCCACUUGGAACAAUCUUCUUGGAUCCUGAUGGAAGCUUAAUCCUAGUGGUUCCAUUAUCGGGAUUGUGACUGAUAACAAUAGCAUAAUCA